UUUCUGGGGUUACUGUACUUAGGAUUUAUUUGAGCCCAUUUUCUGGGCUUAUAAGGAAGUGACCCAUUUGAAAAAGGAGCUCUAUUCUGGGACUUUAAUUUAUUUUUCAUUUUUUUGUGCAGUUAUGGAUACAAAAGAAGUGAUAUAAGUUAUUUCUCUCUUCAUUUUUUUUUAUUUUUUUUUUCCAUAUUGUUCCUUUUCUCAUGGUUAUUAGAUGACCUUUUGUACAUGUUUUUGCAGUUCUGUAACAUGUGUACAAGAUAUAGAGUCUGUUUGUUUGGACUUGUUGUGUUCUUUGCCUUAUCCUCCACUGUACUUUCUGCAUCCAAUGACGGGUUGUUACGAAUUGGACUAUAGAAGAGGAAAUUUAAAUCAGAUUAGCUGGUUUGGUGAUAGCAUUGAAUCAAAGCAGGGUGGUUUGUAAGAAAUUAUAAACUUCGUGGUCAUGUUGAAGAUUCAGAUAUUGACAUCAUUUCUCUAAAGAACUAUUUGGAAACUCAAUAUUAUGGUGAGAUUGGUAUUGGAAC
rnacentral:lncRNA from 1 species